rnacentral:tRNA from 1 species
GGGGAUUUAGCUCAGCGGUAGAGCGCUUGCCUAGCAAGUGCAAGGUCCUGGGUUCGGUCCCCAGCUCCG